GGUGAACGCUGGCGGCGUGCUUAAGACAUGCAAGUCGAACGGGCUCUUCGGAGCCAGUGGCGCACGGGUGAGUAACGCGUAACUGACCUACCCCAAAGUCGCGGAUAACGAUUCGAAAGAAUCGCUAAUACGUGAUGUGCUGUCAGAUCCUGUUCUGCCAGUAAAGAUUUAUUGCUUUGGGAUGGGGUUGCGUUCCAUCAGCUAGUUGGUGGGGUAAAGGCCCACUAAGGCGACGACGGAUCGCCGGCCUGAGAGGGUGGCCGGCCACAGGGGCACUGAGACACGAGUCCCACCCCUACGGGAGGCAGCAGUUAGGAAUCUUCCACAAUGGGCGAAAGCCUGAUGGAGCGACGCCGCGUGAGGGAUGAAGGUCCUCGGAUCGUAAACCUCUGAAUCAGGGACGAAAGACGCGAAAGCGGGAUGACGGUACCUGAGUAAUAGCACCGGCUAACUCCGUG
rnacentral:rRNA from 1 species